CCUACGGGAGGCAGCAGUGGGGAAUAUUGGGCAAUGGGCGCAAGCCUGACCCAGCAACGCCGCGUGAAGGAAGAAGGCUUUCGGGUUGUAAACUUCUUUUGUCAGGGACGAAGCAAGUGACGGUACCCGACGAAUAAGCCACGGCUAACUACGUGCCAGCAGCCGCGGCAAUACGUAGGUGGCAAGCGUGAUUCGUAUUUACGGGGUGUAAAGGGCGUGUAGGCGGGACGUCAAGUCAGAUGUGAAAACCACGGGCUCAACCUGUGGCCUGCAUUUGAAACUGUAGUUCUUGAGUACUGGAGAGGCAGACGGAAUUCGUAGUGUAGCGGUGAAAUGCGGAGAUAAUAGGAGGAACACCAGUGGCGAAGGCGGUCUGCUGGACAGCAACUGACGCUGAGGCGCGAAAGCGUGGGGAGCAAACAGGAUUAGAUACCCGUGUAGUC
rnacentral:rRNA from 1 species